AGGUCCCUGCCUCUGCAGUGCGAAGAGAGUCCAGGAGUGGGCCCUAAAUCCAAUGACUAGUGUCUCUAUGAGAAGAAGAGAGGACACAUACAGACAUACGGGGAGGAAGGCCAUGUGAUGAUGGAGGCAGAGGUGGGAGUCAUGCUGCCACGAGCCGAGGAACACCUAGGACCACCAGAAACUGGAAGAGGCAAGGAAGGAUUCUUCCCUAGAGCCUUUGGACCUGCUGAUUCCUUGAUUCCUCACCUGUAGCAUAAAGAAUUGUGAGCAUAAAUCCCUGUUAUUUUCAACCACCUAGCUUGUGACAGUUUGUUACAGAAGCCCUGGGAAGCUAACACAGCCAGUAAAGCCAAAAGUUCCCCAGCCCACAGCUCACACUCUCCCAUUCACAUCGCCUCGUCCAGCAGUCGCAGCACAUCGUUACCUUUCCAGACCUUUUUUCUAUGCUUUUACAUAUCCAAUACUAUGGAUUGGAUAAGUAAUAUUUGGAAUGCUAUUACUAUCCAAGUACAUAGAAUGCUUACUAUCUGCCAGACACUGUUCUAAGUGCUGUUCAUACAUUAAAUCACUUUAUCCUCAUAGGAACUUUAUGAAGUAGGUGAUAGGAUUAUUUCUAUUUUACAGGUAAAGAAACUGAGGCACAGAAAAAUUAAGUUGCUUGCUCAAGCUCCCAGGGGAGAUCCAGGAUUGGACAGUCUGAUUCAGAAACUGUGCUCAUAAUCACCGUACUAUACUUUAUCUAGUUGACAAUAACCACAUUUGAUGAAUGUGGCAAAACCGCAGAACAGCAACUCAACAUUCUGCAGCCUUAGUCGCAGCCAGGCACCGUGGACCACAGCCAGGACGAGGGUGCUGCUGCCGCCGCCCCCAGGAGACCUGGGGAGCGUGGCCUUGUCUCCCAUAAGCAUUGCUUCUGAUUUACAGCCCUUAAAAGGCAGGAAACCCUCUAGAAUAAUGACUCAUUUUUAUUACACAUGGGCUUUCAGGGAAAUUUUAACAACCCCUAUUUCUCCUUUUUUAUACAGGUUACAUUUUUGGUCUAUUUUAAACAUCUUCAAAUCUGAUAAAUAUGGGUCCAUUCUCUAUAAGAUCUAGAAGUUGCCAUUUGAAGAGUAUUUUGCUGCAUCUUCCAGCUGUGAGCAUCAUACAUAGGGUAUAUGAUUGCAUGAAAAGAUACCUUCUUUUUUUUUUUUUUUUUUUUUUAGAUGGAGUCUCACUCUAUAACCCAGGCUGGAGUGCAGUGGUGAGAUCUCAGCUCAUUGUGGUCUCUGCCUCCUGGGUUCAAGCUAUCCUCCCACCUCAGCCUCCCGAAUAACUGGGAUUACAGGCAUGCACCACCCCACCCAGCUAAUUUUUGUAUUUUUAGUAGAGACGGGGUUUCACCCUGUUGGCCAGGCUGGUCUCAAACUCCUGACCUCAAGUGAUCCACCCACCUUAGCCUCCCAGAGUGCUGAGAUUACAGGUGUGAGCCACGGCCCCAGUGAAAAUGGAUCUUCACAUGCAAAGUUUCAAAUGGAAAGAAUAUUAGAAAUCACUUAGAUUGGGAGGCCGAGGCGGGCGGAUCACGAGGUUAGGAGAUUGAGACCAUCCUGCCUAACACGGUGAAACCCCGUCUCUACUAAAAAUACAAAAAAUUAGACAGGUGCGAUGGCCGGCGCCUGUAGUCCCAGCUACUCACGAGGCUGAGGCAGG
rnacentral:lncRNA from 1 species